rnacentral:rRNA from 1 species
UACGGAGGGUGCGAGCGUUGAUCGGGAUAACUGGGCGUAAAGGGCACGCAGGCGGGCUUUUAAGUGAGAUGUGAAAUCCCCGGGCUUAACCUGUGAAUAGCAUUUCAGACUGGGAGUCUAGAGUACUUUAGGGAGGGGUAGAAUUCCACGUGUAGCGGUGAAACGCGUAGAGAUGUGGAGGAAUACCGAAGGCGAAGGCAGCCCCUUGGGAAUGUACUGACGCUCAUGUGCGAAAGCGUGGGGAGCAAACAGG